UACGUAGGGUGCAAGCGUUGUCCGGAAUUAUUGGGCGUAAAGAGCUCGUAGGCGGUCUGUCGCGUCGGUUGUGAAAUCCCGAGGCUCAACCUUGGGUCUGCAGUCGAUACGGGCAAACUAGAGUAUUGCAGGGGAGACUGGAAUUCCUGGUGUAGCGGUGAAAUGCGCAGAUAUCAGGAGGAACACCGGUGGCGAAGGCGGGUCUCUGGGCAAUAACUGACGCUGAGGAGCGAAAGCGUGGGGAGCGAACAGG
rnacentral:rRNA from 1 species